rnacentral:tRNA from 1 species
CAGUGAAUAGUUUAAUUAAAACAUUAAUUUUGGAGAUUAAUAAUGGGAGAAAAUUCUCUUUACUGA